GACGAACGCUGGCGGCGUGCUUAACACAUGCCAGUCGAACGGAAAGGCCCUGCUUUUGUGGGGUGCUCGAGUGGCGAACGGGUGAGUAACACGUGAGUAACCUGCCCUUGACUUUGGGAUAACUUCAGGAAACUGGGGCUAAUACCGGAUAGGAGCUCCUGCUGCAUGGUGGGGGUUGGAAAGUUUCGGCGGUUGGGGAUGGACUCGCGGCUUAUCAGCUUGUUGGUGGGGUAGUGGCUUACCAAGGCUUUGACGGGUAGCCGGCCUGAGAGGGUGACCGGCCACAUUGGGACUGAGAUACGGCCCAGACUCCUACGGGAGGCAGCAGUGGGGAAAAUUGCACAAUGGGCGGAAGCCUGAUGCAGCAACGCCGCGUGCGGGAUGACGGCCUUCGGGUUGUAAACCGCUUUCGCCUGUGACGAAGCGUGAGUGACGGUAAUGGGUAAAGAAGCACCGGCUAACUACGUG
rnacentral:rRNA from 1 species